UACGGAGGGUGCAAGCGUUGUCCGGAAUCACUGGGCGUAAAGAGCGUGUAGGCGGCUCGAUAAGUCUGCUGUGAAGGUCCAGGGCUCAACCCUGGAAGGCCGGUGGAAACUGUCGGGCUAGAGUCCGGAAGAGGCGAGUGGAAUUCCCGGUGUAGCGGUGAAAUGCGUAGAUAUCUGGAGGAACACCGGUGGCGAAGGCGGCAUCCUGGACCAACACUGACGCUGAGGAGCGAAAGCCAGGGGAGCAAACGG
rnacentral:rRNA from 1 species